GUACCCUCAAGCUUUGCUUGGUGUUGGGGGUUUUUGUCUUUGGUCGCCCAAAGACUCGCCUUAAAGUGAUUGGCAGCCGGCCUUUCUGGUUUCGCAGCGCAGCACAUUUUUGCGCUUGCCAUCAACAAAACGGCAAUCCAUCAAGCCUCCUUCUCACGUUUGACCUCGGAUCAUGUAGGGAUACCCGCUGAACUUAU
rnacentral:misc_RNA from 1 species